rnacentral:rRNA from 1 species
CCUACGGGUGACAGCAGUAGGGAAUCUUCCACAAUGGGCGAAAGCCUGAUGGAGCAACGCCGCGUGGGUGAAGAAGGUCUUCGGAUCGUAAAACCCUGUUGUUAGAGAAGAAAGGGCGUGAGAGUAACUGUUUACGUUUCGACGGUAUCUAACCAGAAAGACACGGCUAACUACGUGACAGCAGCCGCGGUAAUACGUAGGUGGCAAGCGUGAGCCGGAUUUAUUGGGCGUAAAGGGAACGCAGGCGGUCUUUUAGGUCUGAUGUGAAAGCCUUCGGCUUAACCGGAGUAGUGCAUUGGAAACUGGGAGACUUGAGUGCAGAAGCGGAGAGUGGAACUCCAUGUGUAGCGGUGAAAUGCGUAGAUAUAUGGAAGAACACCAGUGGCGAAAGCGGCUCUCUGGUCUGUAACUGACGCUGAGGUUCGAAAGCGUGGGUAGCAAACAGGAUUAGAUACCCCGGUAGUC